rnacentral:rRNA from 1 species
GCGCAUCUGUGCAUGCAUGCAUAUCAAUAAGCGGAGGAAAAGAAACUAACAAGGAUUCCCCUAGUAACGGCGAGUGAAGCGGGAAGAGCUCAAAUUUGAAAUCUUAAAGGGUUUCCCUUUACGAAUUGUAGUUUAAAGAAGUGUUUUCUGUUGAGGUUUUGGUAAAAGUUCUUUGGAAUAGGACAUCAUAGAGGGUGAGAAUCCCGUAUUUGACCUUUACUUUCAACUUUGUGAUACACUUUCAAAGAGUCGGAUUGUUUGGGAAUGCAGUCCAAAAUGGGUGGUAAAUUUCAUCUAAAGCUAAAUAUUGGCGAGAGACCGAUAGCGAACAAGUACCGUGAGGGAAAGAUGAAAAGAACUUUGAAAAGAGAGUUAAACAGUACGUGAAAUUGUCAAAAGGGAAGCGUUUGACACCAGUGUUGUUUUUCUGAAAAUCAAUUAAAGAACUGUUUAUGCUAAGCUGUUUAGACUUUAUCAGCUAACUGUUUAGUUUUGAGCUUUUCUUUAAUGCACUUUUCAGUUAACAAGUCAACAUCAAUUUCUUUUGCUGUAAAAAAGCUUGAGGAAGGUGGCUUGAGAUUCGUCUUAAGUGUUUAUAGCCUCUUGCCUAUGCAGUCGGAGAGAUUGAGGUCUAGCAGCGUAGAUCCUUCGGGGCUAAAUGCAUUUGUGCUAAGUUAUAGCAUUUUAUAGACAACUUGUUGACUAUGAUUUGUCUUGUAGCUUACUCGCUUAUGUUAUUUUACCUACGCUUAGGAUGUUGAGUCAUCACACAUCUCU